UGUUUGAUGUUCUAACGUGGACCCGUGAUCCGGGUUGCGGACAGUGUCUGGUGGGUAGUUUGACUGGGGCGGUCUCCUCCUAAAGAGUAACGGAGGAGCACGAAGGUUGGCUAAUCCUGGUCGGACAUCAGGAGGUUAGUGCAAUGGCAUAAGCCAGCUUGACUGCGAGCGUGACGGCGCGAGCAGGUGCGAAAGCAGGUCAUAGUGAUCCGGUGGUUCUGAAUGGAAGGGCCAUCGCUCAACGGAUAAAAGGUACUCCGGGGAUAACAGGCUGAUACCGCCCAAGAGUUCAUAUCGACGGCGGUGUUUGGCACCUCGAUGUCGGCUCAUCACAUCCUGGGGCUGAAGUAGGUCCCAAGGGUAUGGCUGUUCGCCAUUUAAAGUGGUACGCGAGCUGGGUUUAGAACGUCGUGAGACAGUUCGGUCCCUAUCUGCCGUGGGCGCUGGAGAACUGAGGGGGGCUGCUCCUAGUACGAGAGGACCGGAGUGGACGCAUCACUGGUGUU
rnacentral:rRNA from 2 species